UGGGCGUAAAGAGCUCGUAGGCGGUUUGUCGCGUCUGCUGUGAAAUCCGGAGGCUCAACCUCCGGCCUGCAGUGGGUACGGGCAGACUAGAGUGCGGUAGGGGAGAUUGGAAUUCCUGGUGUAGCGGUGGAAUGCGCAGAUAUCAGGAGGAACACCGAUGGCGAAGGCAGAUCUCUGGGCCGUAACUGACGCUGAGGAGCGAAAGGGUGGGGAGCAAACAGGCUUAGAUACCCUGGUAGUCCACCCCGUAAACGUUGGGAACUAGUUGUGGGGUCCAUUCCACGGAUUCCGUGACGCAGCUAACGCAUUAAGUUCCCCGCCUGGGGAGUACGGCCGCAAGGCUAAAACUCAAAGGAAUUGACGGGGACCCGCACAAGCGGCGGAGCAUGCGGAUUAAUUCGAUGCAACGCGAAGAACCUUACCAAGGCUUGACAUAUACGAGAACGGGCCAGAAAUGGUCAACUCUUUGGACACUCGUAAACAGGUGGUGCAUGGUUGUCGUCAGCUCGUGUCGUGAGAUGUUGGGUUAAGUCCCGCAACGAGCGCAACCCUCGUUCUAUGUUGCCAGCACGUAAUGGUGGGAACUCAUGGGAUACUGCCGGGGUCAACUCGGAGGAAGGUGGGGAUGACGUCAAAUCAUCAUGCCCCUUAUGUCUUGGGCUUCACGCAUGCUACAAUGGCCGGUACAAAGGGCUGCAAUACCGCGAGGUGGAGCGAAUCCCAAAAAGCCGGUCCCAGUUCGGAUUGAGGUCUGCAACUCGACCUCAUGAAGUCGGAGUCGCUAGUAAUCGCAGAUCAGCAACGCUGCGGUGAAUACGUUCCCGGGUCUUGUACACACCGCCCGUCAAGUCAUGAAAGUCGGUAACACCUGAAGCCGGUGGCCUAACCCUUG
rnacentral:rRNA from 1 species